rnacentral:rRNA from 1 species
AUUGAACGCUGGCGGCAUGCCUUACACAUGCAAGUCGAACGGUAACAGGUCUUCGGAUGCUGACGAGUGGCGAACGGGUGAGUAAUACAUCGGAACGUGCCCGAUCGUGGGGGAUAACGGAGCGAAAGCUUUGCUAAUACCGCAUACGAUCUACGGAUGAAAGCCGGGGACCGCAAGGCCUUGCGCGGACGGAGCGGCCGAUGGCAGAUUAGGUAGUUGGUGGGAUAAAAGCUUACCAAGCCGACGAUCUGUAGCUGGUCUGAGAGGACGACCAGCCACACUGGGACUGAGACACGGCCCAGACUCCUACGGGAGGCAGCAGUGGGGAAUUUUGGACAAUGAGCGAAAGCCUGAUCCAGCCAUGCCGCGUGCAGGAUGAAGGCCUACGGGUUGUAAACUGCUUUUGUACGGAACGAAAAGCCUCUUUCUAAUAAAGAGAGGUCAUGACGGUACCGUAAGAAUAAGCACCGGCUAACUACGUGCCAGCCGCCGCCGUAACAC